GGACACAUGCAGGACACUUGGGGAGGCGGGGCCCGCCCAGGGCGACCCGCUUCCCUGGAUGGGAGAAGAGGACUCUCUCUCCUUCCGUGGUAUCUGAUGGGCCUUAAACCCAGGCAGGGGAAGCAAACAAAAAAAAAAUAUGAGACUACAUUACAAAGUUUUUGCACAUCGACAAAAUGAGAAGACAACCCACUGAACAUGCCUCAGAAGCGAACAAUGAAUUCAAAGCUCUAAAGGCGGAAGCGGAAUCAGGGAGACAAGUCCGUCCGCGGGGCACGCCUGACAUGAGCCCUCGCACCUUGAAGUCGUCAAGGCCGUGGUCUCAGUGGCUGCUGGGCUGGUGGGCUUCCUGAUGUUCUUCACAGGUUGCUGCCACGUGCUGAAGACACGCUUCAUUCCUCAGCACCAGGAACUGAAGAGGAAAGACAUUCACCUCCACCAAAAAGCACUUCAGGCUUCAAGCCUCGAAACGCGCAGGCCCAAGACACGUCCUGGAAAUGGUGGCCUCCUGUCUCUCAGCGGCUGUCUGUAACUCGGUGACUCCUGCAUUUGAGCUCUCGAGCUCUGUGUGGGGGAUUGAGACUCAUUUCUGGUGUUGUGCCAGCCUUGACUUUUAGCAUAAAACCCUAGUGUAUGUUUGACCUGCAACAGGCUGUUCUGUGGCAUUUGCUCUGUUGCUGGCGAAGCCCUUCUCCGAAGCCGGACACCA